rnacentral:rRNA from 1 species
UCGGGAAUUUUGGGCAAUGGGCGAAAGCCUGACCCAGCAACGCCGCGUGAAGGAUGAAGUAUUUCGGUAUGUAAACUUCGUAAGAAUAGGAAGAAUAAAUGACGGUACUAUUUGUAAGGUCCGGCUAACUACGUGCCAGCAGCCGCUGUAAUACGUAGGGACCAAGCGUCGUUCGGAUUUACUGGGCGUAAAGCGCGCGUAGGUGGUUUGUUAAGUUGGAUGUGAAAUCCCCGGGCUCAACCUGGGAACUGCAUUCAAAACUGACAAGCUAGAGUAUGGUAGAGGGUGGUGGAAUUUCCUGUGUAGCGGUGAAAUGCGUAGAUAUAGGAAGGAACACCAGUGGCGAAGGCGACCACCUGGACUGAUACUGACACUGAGGUGCGAAAGCGUGGGGAGCAAACAGGAUUAGAUACCCCCGUAGUCCCUGAGCGGGCUGGCAAGGCGCAU